AUGACAACAUUCUCCAACAAUAAAUCUCUUCUGGACAACAAAGAGGCUGUAGAAGCCCUUGUGAACUGUGAAUUUGCACCUGAGAUCCAAACAUUGUACGGUCCAACGCUCUGCACCAGCUUCAGCCUGGCUCGCAUCCAGCUAGUCCUGGCCCUCAGCAAGACACUAAGAGACCUUCCAGAUCCAGAUCCUGAAGAUUCAUGUGCUGCAAUCUUAGUGGCGUCUGAGUUCAGCGAACAGGAAAGACCGGACGAAGAACCAAAACCACUGAAGCAAAAACCUUUCACACUUUGUCAUGAAGGGAGUCAGCUCACAUCAGAAAGAAUUAAGAUGGUGUUACUGGAAGCAGCAUCUUCUCUGUUGACCUCCACCACAGAACAGCUGGUAUUGCUGGGCUGCAGUGAGGAGGAGAAGCUGGAGCUCACCGUGGAGUCCAGUCUUCUUAAAGCCAGCCUCCACCUACAGCAGGGACGUCCCAAACUCAGUUUUGAGGCAGCAGUUUCAUCUUUAGUCCUUCUACAAACAUCACCUGUGACUAUUGGAGCGUCCGACUCUAAACUUACAGAGGUUUUACAAGUUACAAUUACCACACAAAUCUGA
rnacentral:lncRNA from 1 species